GCGAGCAGUAAGGAUGGGUGAAUGGAAGAAUACAUUGGCCCCAAGCAGCGCAAAUAUUGGCCUAGUUCAAUAAGCUAAGUGUUCCCCAAAAGGAAUAGGGAAAAUAAUUGGCUUUCAGACACAUGAGCACCAAGAUGGGUCUCAGUGUUAGAGGAGGACUGCAACCUGACAUGAGAGAAUCCCAGCCAGUCUAUGUCUGGAUAUAGAGUCUCAGUCAUUCCUCACUUAUUGUGGGUGCUGGAAUAGCCCAAGCAAUUUGCUACCCUCAGUCUCCUUAGAAAAUUCAUUUUUGCUGUUUUGGGAGAGGAGUGGGGAGAAGAGGAGGUGGUGGGAGGUGAGGACCAGGUUUGGAACAGUAAGCACCAAGUCCAAGUGGUGUCUGUUCAGGGAGUAAACGGAAGCUAGCCACGUCUGCAGGGGCCUGAGGCAUAGCUUUGUGUGCCAGACCAUGUAGGUGCACGCGGCUAUGUGUCCCAGUAGCUUUAGGCAAACCUGGGCUGUCAUGAUUGGUUGGACAAUGACCUUGGAUAUCACGUCCGACGUGAUCCAGAACUGGGCCUCCGGAAGGAAGGCUCUGGCUUUGGUCGAGUUGAGCAGUGCCCCAAUCAACUCAAUUCUCUGAACUGGAAUAAGGGUCAACUUUUGCUCGUUUAUCAAUAGUCCCAGCACUCAGAAGGUGGCUUGGACCAGGUUGAUGCUGUUCUUUACUUGAGCCUCUGAAUGACCCUUAAUCAGCCAGUCAUUGAGGAGUACUGUCUCAGUGGCGGAGCCAAGAAGCAUGGCGGCUGUUGAGGCCUGACGUGCUUCCUUGAAGUGAAUGGAGGAAGAGGCCCAGGGACCUGAGGGUAGCCCUUGAGUCCUUCAGGCCAUGUAGUCUCGCGUUCGUCUGCUCUGAAAAUAGUGACGGGCCUUCAAAAGGGAGAUCCUGGAUAGACUGCUGAAUCUCCUGAUCGAGUCCCGAUGACUGCAGCCAAGAGCAUCAUCUCAUGGUGACUACAGAGGUCAUUGUCCUGGCCGCCAUGUCUGCUGCGUCCAGUGCCUCCUGGAGAGAGGCUCUGGCAACAUUCUUUCCUUGUUCUAAGAUGGCUGAAAAUUCCUGCCAUAAGUCUUGAGACAUGGAGUCCUUAAAUUUGGACAGAGUCCCACAAAUUGUAGUCGUAUCUCCAGAGUAAGGCUUGCUGGUUUGAGAUACAUAGUUGUAGACUACCUGUCAAAUAAACUUUCCUCCCAAACAGA